UACGAGGGGGGCAAGCGUUGUUCGGAAUUAUUGGGCGUAAAGGGUGCGUAGGCGGUUUGAUAAGUCAUCUGUGAAAUCUCUGGGCUCAACCCAGAGUCUGCAGGCGAAACUGUCGGGCUUGAGUAUGGGAGAGGUGAGUGGAAUUUCCAGUGUAGCGGUGAAAUGCGUAGAUAUCGGAAGGAACACCUGUGGCGAAAGCGGCUCACUGGACCAUUACUGACGCUGAUGCACGAAAGCUAGGGGAGCAAACAGG
rnacentral:rRNA from 1 species